GUUAUGGUAGUUUAAUUUAAAACUUUGGUCUUGUAAACCAAAAAUAGAAUAAUUCUUCAUAUCC
rnacentral:tRNA from 1 species